rnacentral:rRNA from 1 species
AGUGAACGCUGGCGGUAGGCCUAACACAUGCAAGUCGAACGGCAGCACAGUAAGAGCUUGCUCUUACGGGUGGCGAGUGGCGGACGGGUGAGGAAUACAUCGGAAUCUACUUUUUCGUGGGGGAUAACGUAGGGAAACUUACGCUAAUACCGCAUACGACCUACGGGUGAAAGCAGGGGAUCUUCGGACCUUGCGCGAUUGAAUGAGCCGAUGUCGGAUUAGCUAGUUGGCGGGGUAAAGGCCCACCAAGGCGACGAUCCGUAGCUGGUCUGAGAGGAUGAUCAGCCACACUGGAACUGAGACACGGUCCAGACUCCUACGGGAGGCAGCAGUGGGGAAUAUUGGACAAUGGGCGCAAGCCUGAUCCAGCCAUACCGCGUGGGUGAAGAAGGCCUUCGGGUUGUAAAGCCCUUUUGUUGGGAAAGAAAAGCAGCGGGUUAAUACCCCGCUGUUCUGACGGUACCCAAAGAAUAAGCACCGGCUAACAUCGUG